rnacentral:rRNA from 1 species
UGGGGAAUAUUGGACAAUGGGCGCAAGCCUGAUCCAGCCAUGCCGCGUGAGUGACGAAGGUCUUCGGAUUGUAAAACUCUUUUUGGCGGGGACGAUAAUGACGGUACCCGCAGAAUAAGCCCCGGCUAACUUCGUGCCAGCAGCCGCGGUAAUACGAAGGGGGCUAGCGUUGUUCGGAAUCACUGGGCGUAAAGCGCACGUAGGCGGAUGUGCCAGUCAGGGGUGAAAUCCCGGAGCUCAACUCCGGAACUGCCUCUGAUACUGCACGUCUUGAGUUCGAGAGAGGUGGGUGGAAUUCCUAGUGUAGAGGUGAAAUUCGUAGAUAUUAGGAAGAACACCGGUGGCGAAGGCGGCCCACUGGCUCGAUACUGACGCUGAGGUGCGAAAGCGUGGGGAGCAAACAGGAUUAGAUACCCCUGUAGUCCCUGAGCGGGCUGG